AUAAUAGUUAAAUGAAAGGGAAUAAUUGAAGGAGCCUUCUCCCCUAUUCACAAAAUCAGAGCGGGAAAAGGGGAUGAAAUCCCUAAUCCUGUAUUCCCUUCUCCUAUAUCGUCUUAAUCUCGCCGGUGCAAGGAUGUGUGACGACCGCGAAUCUUGCUGGGAGCUAAGAUUAGUGGCGGGAACCCUUCUACUCGUGACGGAAUGGAGCAACGAAGAAAAUCUUUGCUUCUUCGCGGUGGACCGAAUGAAACCCGUCUUCUUCUCUCUUAUCCAAUAGUAACCUGGGCGUUUGUCAGCGGAGGAGGCAACGUUGGCCGAAAGUCAUCAACGACUGGGGCUGAACCAACCGAGAAGCCAUGGUGAUGGUUUAGGUUUGAAAUCGCCUUCCCGUUUUUUGCAACGUUACUCGGUGGUGAUUUUCGGUCUUCAAUCUUCCCACCGUCGUGGAAGCUUUGCUCUAACUAUGGGACAUCUCGAAGGCAAUGGACAUUAACGGUGCAGAAGGCGGAGCCACAACCGGCUUUCUCGGUGCGACAGUGGCCCUGAUUAGAACACGAAUGGGUUUGUCUAGGCCCGGCAAUGGCGAGACAGCGGAGCCCCGCCCCAAAGGGAUGCCAACUCAGCCUCCACACUAGGUCACCAAUUACUCGAGGUUGGUUUUUCUUUCGUGGUUACUAUGGCCUCACAGGUAUGUUUCUUUUAUAAACUUUACUUCAUCUAUUGGAUAUUCCUUGAUUUAGUCUCUGAUCUAUGUUAUAUAUAUGGGUAUAUGAUGACAAGAAUGAACACUACGUAUUAUUCUUUACUUUAUCAGCAUGAUUUAUGGAUGUGCUUAUCGAGUGUAUAUGUCUUAUUUUGUUGUUCAUAAUACAUACUAAGUAACGUACAUUUCUGCUUGUAUGCACUUGAAGAUGGUGAAUGUUCAAUCAUAUUUUCAAGCUUUGUUAACAGAUAAGGUAAUGGAUAAGCCUAUUCUCAACAGAUAAGGAACCUUCCUUGGUUAAUUCACCUUGCACAUAGUAUUGAGGUCCUCGUAGGCAAAACUUGUACAUCUCAACCGAAUCAUAUGAAUUCCAUAACUCGUUGUUACAAUCUCCUAGAGGAGAUCCAUCACUAGUUAUGCCUCCAACCUUCAUAAACAACUCCUCAUCCAAAGAGAAAUUGUUUCCUUCCACAACACUAACAUAUUUCUCAUCCUUAUAUAGAAAAUUGUUUUAAAAUUCCCGAACUGAAGAGGGGUAGAUGUUAAGAUGCCAUUCCAAGAAUAUGUUUGCCCCUUGAGCCUCUAAUUCGUGAUGUAAUUGGAAUUCUUGUUCCACCACCCAAGCCAUGUCUGUGUACAAAAUAUAAGUAUGUUUUUGGCCAAUGAACUUUAAUAAACUUACUUCUUGGAGAGUCGGAGAAUAGUAGGGUUCAUCAACAAUGAAAUUUCUGCCACCUUUUGUAGAGGAAGAGCCGCCAACCUCCACAUUUCUCAUAUGCCCAUGAUGGCAAAGAGAUCGAUGCAUACCAAUAGUAGUUUUCACUCCCUUAAGCCUUCCUUUGCUCAGAUGGCAACUUAAAUGAUCAAUACUCGAUUAUCUUAAUCGAUUUCGCAUAUUGGGGAUAGGGUUUGGAAAUAUGGAAAAUUAUAGGUUAUGUGAUUUUGAGGGUUAAUUGAUGGGAUAUGAGGGUAAUAGAUAUCAAUUGGAUGAUAAACAGUAAAUGGGUUCCUAAUUUGACACAAAUUAAGAAAGAUUUCAGAUUUGAGGAAGAAGUCUAGAGAUAUGAGGUUUUAGGGUUUUCGAAAUUCGUAUUUAACCAAUGUCACUAUAGCUUAAAUUAAUUGAUUAAGUGCACUAUUAAUCGAUUAACGAUUUUAAAAAUUUGCAGAGAUAAUUGAUUAAGGGCCAGUUUAAUCAAUUAUCAAAUUAUAAAAUUGUUCUCAGGUAAUUGAUUAAGAGCUAUUUAAUCGAUUAAAACACUUGAAAAAAGAGCCCAGGUAGUCGAUUAACUAGAGAAAUAAUCGAUUAAUGACAGUUCUUUCAGAGAAAUCAAUAAAUUUCAUCACUUGCUUAGGGAAUGCUAUGAUCUAAAUAGACAAAACUUAUCCUAAAUAAUGAUCAACCACACACAAAGCUGCUCAAUCAAAUAAGAACACAUCUAAGCUAUUUUGCAUACACACAAACAAGAUAGGCAUUUGAAUAAAGAUAAAAAAGGUUCAUGAAUAUCCAAACAACUUAGAUAAAACUAUAAAAUAUAUGAUUCAUCAGGUAUUCUGUAACACCUCUACCCAGGGAAAUUAAAGUAACUAAAUGAAUGAAGAAAAUAUUUGUGGCAGAAGCAACUUCAAAUUGAAAAUUGUGAAAAUAAAAUUUCCCGGAAAUAUCAUUCAUAUAACACUGAACUUGAACUUCAAAAGGAAUGAAUUUUUUUUUUGACAAAUCUAUCAAUAUGAAUAUAAAAUUCUUGACUUAUCAAGGAUAAAAAAUAAUAUGUUGAUCAGGUGUUACAUCCUAUAACAGAGUGACGCACUAUUGAUAAGUGCCAAAAAUGCCUAAAUUUCAUACAUUUUUUUAUGGUACUUAUCCUUGGCAAAAUUGAGAAAACCAACUUAAUUCAACACUUUUUGGAUAAAAUAUCACAAUCUUGUAUAUUUUCGUUGUGUAUUUCUUCUUUACUUUAUUUUGUAGGAUUUAGGUAGAAAAGAGAUGAAAUAAUCACGUGCAAGCAAAGUGCUCAAAAUAGGCCGAAAUGAUCCACAUAUGAGAUUCUUAAGCUAUGUGCUUAGCCUUAAGCAUGACUCAACAAAACUUGGCCUAUGUGGAAAACAUGAAGUCAACAUGAAGUUGCUCACUAAGCAGCUUAGCUUGGACCAAACCCACACCUAGCUGACCUAGACACCAACCCGGCACAGUCAGAACACAAGCCUAGCAUGGGCCACCACACGCAUGGCACACGCUAAGUGCUCAUUAAGCAACUUAGCAUGGCACCUUGAUCGCCCAGCUUGGAACCACACACAUGACUAGAUCAGCAAGCACCAAGCCACAUCACCAUCAGCACGGUCAAAGAUGCUCAAGCAUGCAGCUUAGUGGUGCCACAUAGGUGUGAAGAAGAUCUUUGCUCCUGACCUUGGCACCAUUUUGAUGAAGACACCAACAUCACCAAAAAGAAGAAAAGGAACAAUACUUAUGAAGACAAAGAAGACAAAACUUCAAGACAAAUUAGUCUAAGUCUAAAUAGGUACUUCUAUCCUAUACUCUUGAAUAUACAAUAGUAGUAAUGCUGAAACUAUUUUUUAAAGAAAAUUGAAACAAUUCAAGUAUAAACAAAACAAUUUUCAAAAAUAGUAUGUAAUAGGUUACUGGAUCUAAGUAACUUGUUACAUGAGUGAUAAAACCAAUUACCCAACAAAAUCUGUGCAGGGUAAUCAAUUACUGUAUAUGGGUAACAGGUUACCCAUUUCUGGCAAAGUUGGGUAAUCGAUUACUCAAGACUGUAAUUGAUUACUCUAAUUAAAUUUGAAAUGUCCAAUUGGACAACAAGUUUGGGUAAUCGAUUAUUGAAGCAUGUAAUCGAUUACUGAGAGUUGUUGCACUAGUUUUCAGAUUUCAAAGUGAAUGGUUUUCAUCCCAAACGAAAUGGUUUCAUUCCAAUCAAUUCCUACCCUUUCUAAGAGGUGCUAUGGCUCGUUGGAAAGCCUAUUUAAAGGUAUUGAAACUCAUGUACAACACACACAUACCUCUCACACAAAUCUUACAUAAACUUUCGAGUUAAUUUUGAAAAUUCUUUGAAACAUUUUUAUGCACUUAUUGCAAAUUUUUAUUAAACUUUCAAAGUGAAUUUUCCGAGUUUCUUUAGGUAAAGCGUUUCAAAAGUUUUACAAAUUAUAAGAGCAUUAUUACUUAGUAUACAAAAGAGUUAUUGGAUUGCAAGUGAUAUUACAUUUCAUACAAGGGUGUGAUAAGAAAGGAGAUAAAGUUAUUUAGAAAAGGUGUUUCCAAGAGUGAUAUAAGUAUUAGUGAGUGUAUAAGGUACAUAGAACACUCGGGUGAGAUAUUGUAAUUACAACUCAUAAUAUUUAGUGAAGAAAUAUCUUGUGCUACAAGUGUACUGUAUGUACUCUUCGGUGGACAAGAAGGUGAACCAAUAUAAAAUUUCAGUAUACUCUCUUCUCCUUUAUCUCUUGAUUUUUAUUUGUUAAUUUUCUGCAUAAUUUCUCUGUUGCAUUUAACUCUUAACUUUGCAGAAAAUGUGGCCAUAAUUUUAAGUAAACUAAUUCACCCCCUCUUAGUUGCAAUCUUAGUCUUACAAUAGGAGCUUGGCAGGGUAAACUCAUCCAGUUGGUCAAGUUGACUUAGCCACCAAGCAACCAUAACAUCAUACAUGACCUCACUCCAAGUAGCCUCUAUAGGCUUUUCAGAGGUACCUCAUAAUAGUUGGGCAAGUAGCUCACCAUAGCUUGGGUGACUCAGCACCAAGCAGGUAACUAAGCUGAUUGGCCAAGUGACCAAACCCAUGCUGAAGAGUUUUGUCAGCAGCUUGGCGGUGGCAGAAAACUCCUAUAAAUAGGAGGCACUUAAACACACUUAAGGAAAUUCCAUUUUCACAUACAUUCUCACAUUCAUACCUCCAUCCUAAUUUCUCUCUUCUUCUACAUCUUCUUUGUAAUUUCUUGGAGAACUUAUACUCCAAAAUAGCUUAGGUAAUUUUUUUGUAAUUUUCUCUUAAUUCAAGAGGAUAAGGAGUAAUCAAAUGAGAUGUAAAAAUUUAUUUUGCAAUAUCAUUUGUGCAUGAUAAAAUGUCUUAAAUACUUGGACUAAGAUGACUAAUGAUCCUAAAUUUUAGUUGAAUUUUGGCUCACUAAUAUUUCUUUUAAUUUCUUGUUUCAUUAUGUUGAAUCAUGUUUAAGUUAUUACUUUGGUAAUUUCAAUUCUUUAGAAAGUUCUUAAUGUGGUUUUAGCUUGAUCACCUAAAACUUGAUUUCAAUAUCCAAAAUGCUUCUUUUUAAAGUCUUGACAAAUGAACUAAAAAGUAGGAAUAUACCUUAGUUAAUUUGCCAAAUCAAAGCAUCUAUUUUAAGCAAGUCUGAAAUAAGGUGUGGCAACUUAUUUUGUCGAGUUACAGUUUUCUAUUGAUUAGUAUAUUUUGCAAGGUUUGAAAAUCAUGUUUUCUCACUGGGGGACUGGGGGAAAUUUCAUGAACUGACGUUUGGAAUAACCAAAGUAUAACACAUAACUUUUAUAAACAUUUUUUUCGUAAGAUACAAGUUCAGAAAUUUUUUCAUCAUUCAAACUAAUUUUCAAACUCCAUAAAAUAAUUUGUGCAUAAUAGUUGUUUACUUUUAUGUUUACUUGUUCAAAUUCCAUAAACAAAAAUCAAACCAAAAAUAUGUUUAAACUUUAUUAGUAAUAUAACAUGUUUAUAAUAUUGUUGUAUUAGGCAAUUCCUUGUGGUUCGACAUAACCCUAUACUAUACUACAAUUGAAUCUUGAAAGACAUUCAAGUGUAAAAUAGUAAAGUGUUAACUUAUAAAUUUUAUUUGUUGACAAAAAGAGAAACCUUGAAUCAAAGUGCAAUUUAAUUCAUAAAUUGUAUCUUUGUGAAAAGGAAAAAUACACAGUCAUAAUGAGUGAUCUAACUACUAACUUUUAUUUUCAGUCAUUUACUUUCCGCAAGUAACAUUUAUUUUCUGUCAUUUACAUUUCUGCUACUAACAUUUAUGUAUUGAUUUAUUCAUUUAUUCUUUAGUCUGUACCAACCUUCCAUAAGGAAGUUGUUCGGUUAAUAAAAGCAAAUGAAAGUAAAUAUUACUCAUUAUCACUUGUGUUAAUACGCUAAAUUCAUACCAGUAAACUAGUGUUGGAAUUUAUUCCACAAAACCGAGAUGAUAUGAAGUUGUUAAUAAUUCAAUAAAGCUAAGUUUUUGAUCAAAUGGAAUAGUCUUGAAACCAUUAUAUCGACAUUGGAAUUUAUUAUAACAAAGUUGAGAUGGCGAGCAAAGAGUAAACCAAUAUCUAAAUAAAUCAAUCAGAAACUUGCCUUACCAAGCAAGAAAAAUCUUUCAACAAAUUGGUGCCACUGUUGGAGAAUUGCUGAAUAAUAGAAAUUAUCAUUUACAAUGGCAUAUUAUUAAUAACCUUGUAAACAAAUAUUUUUCACUUUUUGUAUAAAUUAAUUUGAAUUUGUAUAAACAAUGUAAAUUAUAUAUAUUGUCUAUUCUUAAUCACUAACUUUCUUGUGAAAAACAUAAACAUUUCCUUUGAUGGCUGAAUUGUAGGAAAAACAGGUACAAUUUUCAAUCGAUCCAGAACUUGAAAAAAAUCUAUGAAAGAAAAAGAAAGCCCAAAGGAAAGCUACGAAACAAUCAGAAUCAAUGGCCAGUAAUCAACAAAUUAAUGAAGGAUCAAGGGAAGACAACUAGCCAAAUACUGGUGGAUUUGUCAGUUUCACGCCCAGAAAUAUGAUAAGGAUCGGGAGCCCAUCUGGUACCCAAAGGACUCCCGAAAUGAAGUAUGGUUUGGUACAGCUGAUGUAUGCCAAUCCAUUUGCUGGUCUGGAGCAUGAAGACCCAUACAACCAUCUCACAAAAUUUUACGAGUUGGUUGGUAUUGCUGGAAUAUCCGAAGCAGAAGAAGAAACUACUUUUCUGAGGCUUUUCCUUUUAACUCUGAUUGGGAAAACUAAGGAAUGGUUUCUGGAUCUGCCUCCACAUAUUCAGUAUGACUGGAACCUGGAGGAGGAGAAAUUUAUGAGUAGAUACUUUCUGCAAGGAAAGUUUAUGGAUUUGAAGACAACUAUAUCCAUCUUUGUUCAACCUGCUGAGAAAAGUCUUUGCGAAUCUUGAGAUAGAUUCAAAUCUUGCUAAGAAAGUGCCUAAAUCAUUGAUUUGAUGUGCAAACUGAAAUCCAUAUCUUCAUUAAUGGAUUACAACAACACAAAUUGAUUCUGAACGCAACGGUUGGCAGACAACUAUUGACUAAACCACCGCAAGAAGCCAUUGAUAUAAUUGAGUCCAUGGAAUUAAAUGACAAGAAAACUCAAUACCAAAGAGGACCACCACCUAGGAGAGGUGGAAUCCUCGAAUUGAGCUCAACAGAUGCUACGUUGGCUCAACAGAAACUGCUUCAACAACAGCUUGAUGAAGUGAACCAAAAGCUUAAUGAUUAACAUAGACAACUAUGUGAAUCUUCAAAGAAGCAAGUUUACAGGUGUGACAAUUUUGUUGACAAUCAUGAAACAUGCCAUUGUCAAAAUGAGGAAGUCCACUUUGUAGGCAAUCCUCCAAGACAAAACUUUCAAAAUAAUUAUUCUCAAGGGGGUAAUAAUCAAUUUCGAAGGAAUCUGCCUUGGAGGCAUGACAAUCCUCAAAAGCCACCAUCACAAUUCUACCCACGGAAUAAUCAGUAUCAACAACCAACACAAGACAAAAAUGUUAAACUAGAGGACACACUGAAUCAAUUCAUGCAAAUGACUAUGUCCAACCUGAAAAACACUGAUGCAUCUCUGCGGAAUAUGAAAAUUCAAAUCACGCAGUUGGCUAAACCACUAGCUGAAAAUCAAAAAUCAACAUUUUCAACUAAUACAAAAGUCAAUCUGAGAGAGCACUAUAAUGUUGUCCUAAGGGGUGAACUAAGCUCAUCUGAGCAGUAGAAAGAAGAUGGUGAAUUCUGGUUAUGUAGGUAACAUGCGUCAAGCUAUUGACAUUAAACGAGCGCUUGCUGGGAGGCAACCCAAUGGUUGGUUAGUUUUGAAAUUUCCUAUUAAUUUAUGUUAUGUUUUGUGUUUAAAAGUUUUAUGUUAUUCAUUAAAAUAAUUCAUAUGCAUCAAACAUAUCCUUAAAACCAAUUUUUCCAUUGACUUGAGGACAAGCCAACAUUUGAAGAGGGGGAACAUAGUUUAAUGCAUAUGUAAUUUUUUUAAAAGAAAUUUAAUCGUCUAUAUAAGAUUGUAAAUUAUUUAAAAAGUAAUUUGGUUGUCCAUAAACUCAAAAUAAAAUUCAAAACCAAAAUUUAGUGGCUAAAUCAACGAUUUUGGCAUGAUUGCAUAAUUAGAAAUUGCUAAGCAUAUUUUGACUUAAGCUUUUAUUGAUAAAAAUGAGAUAUAUGGUAAACAUUUUGUGAAAGCAUCACAUAAUGCCAUAACUUGGAAAUCUUUUGCAAAUGGAAUUUAAAUUUGUUUAAACAUGAUCUGUGCAAAAAAAAAUUUAAAUUAAGAUGUGAGGGAGUGAGCCAAACACGUGAGGAAGAGCUCAAAGUUAAAUCGCCAUUUGAUUUGUCUAAUUAAACUUGUUUGAGUCUUUAAAUCUCUUAAUUGCAUAAAAUUGAUAUGAUGUGAUCAAGGCAUGUUAUUUCUUUAGUUAAACCAGAUGACCAAAAAGUCUAACAAAAAUUAGGAUUAUUCUUUGAUAAGCCCAUUUGAGCCAAAUAAAGUAAAACAUUUUUUCAAAUUAUCCCAUGAUACCGAAAUUGAAAACAAUGUUCAAAGAGAGCAUUAAUUUUUAAAGGGGGUGUUUGAACGAAUCAAGUUGGGAGGAAAUUGGUGGAUUUGGCUUCUUGAAAUGAAAAAUAAAUUUGUUUUCUCAAUCUCUUUACAAAAACAAAAAAAAAGUUAGAAAAGAAAGUGAAAAACAAAAAGAGAUUGAGAAAUACAAUGAAAAGUCAAAAUGAGUCAAGGUUCAAAAGCUAAGAGGUUGGAAAAGAAAAUUAUGGAAAAAAGUAGAGUGAAGUGCUUCAUUGAGAAAAUUUACAAAAUGCUCUCUUUUUACUUGAACUUAACUUGAUUAUCUAGAAAAACCACGAUUGUCCAAACCAAGCCUCAUUACAACCGAAAACAAGACCUUAGUGAUCCCUGAUUGAUUAUGCAUAUUGAGUGCAUAUGAGACAAUGAACAAGUUCAAAUUACUACAAUUAAAUUAUUGAAAAACUGAGUGAAACACUUACCCCUUUGAAGUUCCAAUUUUGAACUUGUGUACAAAAACACUUUUUGAUUGAAAAAUAUUUGCCUGGGUAAAUUGUUACACAUUUUUUAUGAACAAAAGCAUACAUUUCAUGUUUGGAGCAUUAUAUGUAAAAAAAUCAUAAAUCAUGAAAAAUCUCAUUGAAAACAUUUUUGAUCAUGCUUAAGCAAAUUUGAAAUCAUGUCAAUCAUAUCUUGAAAAAUUAGAUAAGUUUUGAAUUCAGAUGUGCUUUACCAUUUUUUUGAGGACAAACAAAGUCUUAAGUUGGGGGUGUUGACAAGUGCCAAAAAUGCCUAAAUUUCAUACACUUUUUAUGGCACUUAUCCUUAAAAAAAUUGAGAAAACCAACUUAAUUCAACACUUUUUGGAUAAAAUAUCACAAUCUUGUAUAUAUGCUUUGUGUAUUUCUUUUUUGCAUUAUGUAUUUCUUCUUUACUUUAUUUUGUAGGAUUUAGGUAGAAAAGAGAUGAAAUAAUCAAGUGCAAGCAAAGUGCUCAAAAUAGGCCAAAAUUAUCCACACAUGAAAUACUUAAGCUUGACAUGACAAGCUAUGUGCUUAGCCUUAAGUAUGACUAAACAAAACUUGGCCUAUAUGGAAAACAUGAAGUCAACAUGAAGCUGCUCACUAAGCAACUUAGCUUGGACCAAACCCACGCCUAGCUGACCUGGACACCAACCUGGCACAGUCAUACUCAACCUGGCACGGUUAGAACACAAACCUGGCAUGGGCCACUACACGCAUGGCACACCUAAGUGCUCAUUAAGCAGCUUAGCAUGACACCUGGACCGCCCAACUUGGAGCCACACACCUGACUAGAUUAGCAAGCACCAAGCCACAUCACCAUCAUCAAGGUCAAAGCUAAUCAAGCAGGCACCUUAGCGGUGCCACAUAGGAGCUUGCCGGUGCGCAUUCAACAAGUUGGUCUAGUUGACUUAGCCACCAAGCAACCGCAACAUCAUGCAUGAUCUCACUCCAAGUAGCCUCCAUAGGCUUUUUAGAGGUAGCUCACAAUAGCUGGGCAAGUAGCUAACCAUAGCUUGGGUGACUCAGCCCCAAGCAGGUGACUAAGUUGCUUGGCCAAGUGACCAAACCCACGUUGAAGGGUUUAGUCAGUAGCUUAGCGGUGACAGAAAACUCAUAUAAAUAGGAGGCACUUCAACAUACUUAAGGAAAUUCCAUUUUUCACAUACAUUCUCACAUUCAUACCUCCAUCUGAAUUUCUCUCUUAUUCUACUUCUUCUGUGUAAUUUCUUGGAGAACUUCUACUCCAAAGUAGCUUAGGUAAUUUUAUUUGUAAUUUCCUCUUAAUUCAAGAGAAGAAGGAGUAAUCAAAUGAGAUGUAAAAAUCCAUUUAACAAUCUCAUUUGUGUAUGGUAAAGUGUCUUAAAUCCUUGGAUUAAGAUGAUUAAUGUUCCUAAAUUUUAGUUCAUUUUUGGCUCACUAAAAUUUCUUGUAAUUUAUUGUUUCAUUAUGUUAAAUCAUGUUUAAGAUAUUACAUUGGCAAUUUCAAUUCUUUAGAAAGUGCUUAAUGCAAUUUUAGCUUGAUCACGUAAAACUUGAUUUCAAGAUCCAAAAUACUUCUUUUGAAAGUCCUGACAAAUGAACUAAAAAUUAGGAAUAUACCUUAGUUAAUUUUCCAAAUCAAAUAAUCUAUUUUAAGCAACUUGUAAUCAAGGCUAAUCAAUGUUUACGGAACCUGAAAUAAGGUGUGACAUCUUAUUUCGCCGAGUGGCAGUUUUCUAUGGAUUAGUAUAUUUUGCAAGGCUUUAAAAUCAUUUUUUCUCGCCGACGGACUAAGGGAAAUUUUAUGAACUGAUGUUUGGAAUAACCAAAGUAUAACACAUAACUUUUAUAAACAUUUUUCAUAAGAAACAUGUUAAGAAAUAUUUCCAUCACUCAAACUAAUUUUAUCCUCAAGAAUUUGUGCUUAUUAGAUGUUUACGUUUAUGUUUACUUGUUCAAAUUCCAUAAACAAAAAUCAAACCAAAAAUAUGUUCAAACUUUUUUAGUAAUAACAUGUUUAGAAUAAUGUUCUAUUAGACAAUUCCUUGUGGUUCGAUAUAGCCUUAUACUAUACUACAAUUGAAUCUUGAAACAAAUGCAAGUGUAAAAUAGUAAAGUGUUAACUUAUAAAUUGUAUUUGUGGACAAAGAAAGAAAACUUGAAUCAAAGUGCAAUUUAAUUCAUAAAUUGUAUCUUUGUGAUAAGGAAAAAUACACAAUCAUAAUGAUCUAACUACUAACUUUUAUUUUUAGUCAUUUACUUUCCGCAACUAAGAUUUACUUUCUGUCAUUUACAUUUCCGCAACUAACGUUUAUUUAUUGCUUUAUUCAUUUAUUAUUUAUUCUUUACCAACAUCCCUUAAGGAAGUAGUUCGGUUAAUAAAAGGAAAUGGAAAUAAAUAUCACUCAUUAUCACUUGUGUUAAUUUGCUAAAUUCAUACUAGUAAACCGGUGUUGGAAUUUAUUCCAUAAAACUGAGAUGAUAUGAAGAUGUUAAUAAUUCAAUAAAUUUAAGUUUUUGAUCAAAUGGAAUAUUCUUGAAACCAUUAUAACGGCGAUGGAAUUUAUUCCAACAAAGUCGAGAUGGCGAGCAAAGAGAAAACCAGUAACUAAAUAAAUCGAUCAGAAACUUGCCUUACCAAGCAAGAAAAAUCUUUCAACAACUAUCUAGCCAUAUGGAUUGUCUUUACUUUCCUUUGGACAAUGGCACAAUCAUUCCCCUUGAAGUCACGUACUACUUAAAUUGUUAUUAGAGUAAGUACUUCUACAUAUAGCAUAUAAACAACACAUAAGAUGACAAAUUCCCAUAGCACUUAUCUUAUAACAAUUAUCAUAUGGAUGUAAUCAAAUAUGGAAUGUCAAUAUCAUGAUUUAUGAACAUCUACAGUAUCUAUCCUAACACAACUAUCGUCUCAUAAAGGAGUGCUUGGAGAAAUAACUCCUAACAGGGCCCCUAACACAAUAUUAGCAGCAAUAGUACCAGCACUGGUCGAGUCCAACCAGUUCUAUGUUGUCCUUAAGAAGCAAACAAGAUGACUACAAUGUUGUACCAACCAUUGGUAACUCAGUAAUGUCGGUCUACCCACUAUUCAACAAAGGUUUUUGACAUGCAAAUGAGAAUAGAAAAACCCACACCAUUCUUUAUCAAAUUGGAGACUUACUACUCAAACAAGUAAGCUCAUCUUCCAUGGAUGGUUCUAUAACUUAGAACAAAAUUUGAAAUUGAAAAGCAAAGAUUUAGUUGAGAGAAUUUCGAAAACCUUAGACCAUAUUUAGAAUCCCCAUGACUCAAUUAAGGUUGGAUGCCCUUUGCUUGUAUGAAGAAUGAAGGAAAACAACCCCAAACACCAUUGGUGUUGGUCAUCCACGCAAGGAAUGGAGAAAGGAGAUGAGUUUUCUUUCUCUCUAAGUUUCUACCUUAUGGCCACCAACUUGGGAGUUUCAAGUACUUAUAGGUGAUUGGGAGAGAAAUUUGGGUGCUAGGUUGAGAGUUGCGCAAAGGAACACAUCCAACUUAUAAUGGUAAGGGGUUUAAUGAUCGAAACAAAAGUGAGUUGGCACUUAAAUUAACUAUCAUGUAUGGUUAGUCCACCAUUGUCUCGUGAAAAUUGAGAGAAACACAAGUGAGGGAGUAUAACAAAAUGUCUCAUGAAAGUGAUAGUCCACCAUUUUCCCCUAGGACAUCAACACUAUAUGUUAUGAUGACAACACAUUUCCAAGCCUUAAAAAGGAAAAUAGAGCAGAUGAGGCUGGAGUAUGAUAAGAGACUUGAAUUCCAUGAAAAUGGAAUUCAAGUGUCCAUGAGGAGGAAAAGGGGAGAAGAAGGCCGAGGAAGGAUAGACGGAGAAGGGAAGCACAAUGCGGUAAGAGAAGGAAGGAGAGGUUUCCUAGCCAAAGGAAAUAUAAUCUUCAUUCAAGAGGAUAUGAUCCAUUUCGUUCGGUGGAAAGGAUCAAUAAUAAUGCCUAAAAGUUGGACUUAUCAACUGAAUUUGGUAAUAUAAGUGCUACUUUCAAUGUUGUUGAAUUAUCUUUCUUUGAUGCAGUUGAUGAAGACUUCUUUUCGAGGACGAAAUCACUCCAAGAAGGAGGGAAUGAUGCAAACCCAAGUGAGUCGAAGUUGGACCAUGAAGGCCUAGAAGGAAUUGGUGGCCUUACGACAAGGGCGUGGAUCAAAAGGGCACAAAUUUCCCUACGACAACUCAUGGGAAUUAUUAAAGAUGAUGGCCCAAAGUAAGGCCAAGGUGGCUCCAAGUUCAUAAAUUGCAUUAUGCAAGGCCUAAACCAACUUGCCCGAGGCAUGGAAUCACAAGGCUAGGUGUUAGGCAUGCAACAAGG
rnacentral:lncRNA from 1 species